rnacentral:rRNA from 1 species
GGUUUAGAACGUCGUGAGACAGUUCGGUCCCUAUCUGUCGUGGGCGCUGGAGAACUGAGGGGGGCUGCUCCUAGUACGAGAGGACCGGAGUGGACGCAUCACUGGUGUUCGGGUUGUCAUGCCAAUGGCACUGCCCGGUAGCUAAAUGCGGAAGAGAUAAGUGCUGAAAGCAUCUAAGCACGAAACUUGCCCCGAGAUGAGUUCUCCCUGAGACUUAGAGUCUCCUGAAGGAACGUUGAAGACGACGACGUUGAUAGGCCGGGUGUGUAAGCGCAGCGAUGCGUUGAGCUAACCGGUACUAAUGAACCGUGAGGCUUAACCUUACAACGCCGAAG